AUCGUCCGUUCACAUAAAGAGGCGGUUCAUUUUCCAGACUUGAAGGGCUACCCUGACUGAGGUUUUCCGUGCUUUUCCUUAGUUGUAAGGCGAAUGCCAGGGUAUAACUUAAUAGGGGCACACAUUCCUGAACCAUUUAAGUAGGAGAGGAAUGUGAACCUAAAGAUUGUGUGCAUUUUGACUGCUGACAUAUCCUACAUUCAGCCAUACUACACAUGGAUCGCACCUCAUUCUAUAGAAAUGUCUGACCGUGAAAUGUGGCGAUUUUUGAAGGGGAAACAUCCAGACAAUUCUGAAGAGGCAAGUGAUGAAGAAUUGCUAUCUCCUGACAAAUUUCACUGCACUAGUGCAAAAACAGGCACAAGAAAGGUUCGUCUUUACAAUGAAAGUUUCUUAUCAAUAAGUCGAUGUAUCGAUGACAUGUCACAUGACGCUGAAGAGGUUUUGCGUGAUAAACUGAAAAAUAGCAGUUUUUCUAUCCAGGUUGAUGGAUCAACAUAUCUUACCAAUAAAUGUCACAUUGUAGCUUUUGUAAGAUUUGUCAAUGAGGGUGAAAUUCAAGAAAACUUUUUCUGUUUCAAAGAAUUGCCUGAGACAAACAAAGGAAUAGAUAUAUUUAAUAUUUUGUCCUCAUAUCUGGAAACAAAAGGUCCCUCCUAAUAGAACUAUCUAUGUUGGCAUCUGUACUGAUGGUGCCCCAUCCAUGGUUGGCUCCAUAAGAGGUUAUGUUUCUCACGUAAAACAAGAAAAUGCUGAUGUUGUCUCAACACACUGCUUUCUUCACAGAGAGUUGCUGAUUUCAAAAUCUCUUGGAGAUGAAUUGAAAAAAGUUUUUGAUGAUGCUACAAAAAUGGUUAACUUUAUUAAACAAAGACCAGUUCACUCCAGAAUGUUUAAAAAGCUGUGUGAAAACCUGGACAAAGAGCACAUAAAUCUCUUGCUACAUACAGAAAUCUGGUGGCUGAGUAGAGGAAGAGUUCUAAAUAGGGUGUUUGAGCUAAAAGAUGAACUGCAGUAAUACUUUCAAGAAAGCAAUAAGCAAGAUUUUGCCAAGUGCAUUGAUGACGAAAAAUGGUUGCAGAGGCUAGCCUACUUGGCAGACAUUUUUCAUCACAUGAAUCAGCUGAGCAAGUCACUGCAAGGCCCUGGAGAAAAUAUAUUGACUUCAAGUGACAAGAUUCUUGGAUUUAAAAGAAGACUGAAUCUUUGAAUAAAUCAUGUUGCAAAAGGGAAUCUUGAGAUGUUUCAGUUACUGGUGGGGCUUAAAAGUAAAGAAGGAUAUUAGCAAAUUUCAAGUCUUAUUGAAACCCACCUGGAAGAACUGUUGAUCAAAAUCAAACAUUAUUAUCCUUCCCUUUCAACACAAGUGUAUGAUUGGGUGAGGGAUCCACACUCUGAAUCUUCUGUUCAUCUUGAAAACUUGACUUUAAGAGAAGAGGAAGAACUUUGCGGGCUGCAAUCUGAUCAUACACUCAAGAUGAGAUUUACUGACCUAUCCCUGGACAAGUUCUGGAUUUCUGUGAAAGAAGAGUAUCCUGCCAUUCAUAGGAAAGCAAUAAAUAUAUUGCUGCAGUUUUCAACCUCUUACAUGUGUGAGCAAGCUUUUUCUUAUUUAACAAGUAUCAAGAACAAAGACAGAAAUCAUCUCCUUUCAGCUGAAGAUGAAAUCCAUGUGUGUUUAUCUAAAGUUCGACCCUGAAUUAAGUAUUUGUGUACCAAAAGACAAGCACAGGUUUCACAAUAGAAAAGUAAAUUUUAUUAUCUAAAUUGGCUUCAAAAAUAACAUUUCCUUUAACAUAUAUUUGUUCAUAUGGCAUUUUACCUUGAUUUAUCUUAUGCUUUUUCAACAUUGUCAAUAAACGAUUUAGUUAUUGUA